GGCCAAACCAGCCGCCCUGCACAGCUGUGCCUUCUUCUUGUCCUCCAGGGUCGGCUGAAAUCUCCUGCUCACCAUCAGGGGGAGCUAUGACCUCACGGGUAUGGCUGUCCACUUCCUCUGGCCCCAGAGGAGUUGCUAGAGUGAAGAUGGGGUCGUCUGCCCUGAUGAGACAGAAUGAGGGAGAACUAAACCACACUCGGUCCUGUCACUGAAGCCCCCCACCCUGUGCAGAUCCGAGUCCAGCUCCAUGGAGUCGGUCCCUGGGCCUCACCUCCUCCUGCUUCCUCUUCAGGACCCUGCUGCGGACGUGUCUCCUGCUCAGCUCCUCCGCGGUGUCUGUGUGCAGCAGCAACACGGCGGCCUCCUCCUCUGAGCGCUCGGCCUCGGGUUUCUUCAGGACUCGACCCACCUGAGGUGAACAGAUCAAACCUGCUCAGGCUGCUACACACAGUGAUGGGCUGCAGUUGUCAGCCGACCAGCACAAGCCUGCUGGUUCCUCGUCUUACCAGUCGGAAGAUCUUCCUCUCGCUCUCCCGCUCCAGUAUUCGGGCCUUUUCCAAAGCUUUUCUCUCAGCCCGCGAGGAGACACCGGUGGUCGCCACCUCUGCCAUCACGUCGCACCUCAGCUGGGGGGAAGAAUCCAUCUAUUCAAAACAAAGCUGAUGGCACCAGCGACAGACGGAUGUCAGCUCUGAGCAGAUGAGACGAGCUGCAGCGCCCUCUGCUGCAGGGAGUCCGCACGGGAUUUUUCUCAAAUUUCACAAACUUCACAGCAACAUUAAAAAAGUUAUGAAAUAUUUAUUGUCAACUGCACAAAAAUAAAUAUAAAGUAGCAUAUAAAACA